rnacentral:lncRNA from 10 species
UGAUACCUUUGAUUAGUCCAAAAGAGAGUAAGAAGAAAGAAGCAGUUCACGCCUUUGUAUGACCUGAACUGGAGAACCCACAUCAAAGUAGGGAUUUGUGGGGCCCCCGUCCACUGUUGAAGAUACUCCAGGUCUGCAGUGAAAUGAAGCAGAGGAGCAUACAGCAGCAGAGAUGAGAAUAAGAAAGUACUUCCUGGUUUCCCACUAGGCUUUUAAUGCCUAGUCCCAUUCCCUUGGGGGAAUUGUGGGGAGAAGAAAGAGAGUAGCUGCUUUCAGAUUCUGUUCGCUGCCCUAGGAUUCUUCCAACAGAACACUUGUUGCCCCGAUGACUGCGAAUUAAUUUUUAUGUGCAAUCAAAAACUCCGAUUAAUUCAGCAGGACUUGAAAAGCAGGUCUUUUAAUUGGAAGUUGGAAUGGGACUUACCAAGCUUCUCAGCAACAGUGUGACCUAAAUGACCAUUUCUUUAUAAAGGCAGAUUUGGCCAGGAGGAGCUUAUGGCAAAUCUUCCCACAGCUUUCCUCCAACUGCUCAACAGCAAAGAUAUUUAUGUCACUGUGAAUCUCUACACCUGUGGUCAGUGAUUUCAUGCUGCUCAUGGCUCAUUUCAUGCUGAGCAGCAGGAAAGGCCACUGUGCAGCUUUCCCAGGCUGAAUAUGAACUCAUCUUUUCUGGAGCUGUCUCACGCUUUCCCCAGACUGUGGAGAAGGGCAGAAAACAUGCUCUAUGGUACUACUGCUUGGACUUUUUCGUUAGGCUGCUUCAUGGAUAAGGUUGGGCCUGCUGCAUGUUAAGUUGGUGGGAUGGGAAGGAUAAGGUACUCAUGUGAUAUAUGUAUCUUGGCCUACUUUGUAAACACAGAGGCCUUACACAAAUGCUAUUCCAGUUGAUAUUAUUAUCAGGAAUAAAGGAACUUAGUCGGCUCCUGAAUAAAAUAUGACUUUCACAUAUGCUGUUGCUUUUCAUGUUACAUAGAUUAAAAAUCCUGUCCUCUGGCUGUAGAGUGCUGGUUUUGUUAAAUUUAGACUUAGAAGGGCAAUAAAUAUUAAAAGAAUU